rnacentral:rRNA from 1 species
GUCGAACGGGCUCUUCAGAGCUAGUGGCGGACGGGUGAGUAACGCGUGAGGAUCUGCCUUCAGGAGGGGGAUAACGACUGGAAACGGUCGCUAAUACCGCAUAUGCCUACGGGUGAAAGAUUUAUCGCCUGGAGAUGAACUCGCGUCAGAUUAGCUAGUUGGUGGGGUAAGAGCCUACCAAGGCGACGAUCUGUAGCUGGUCUGAGAGGAUGAUCAGCCACACUGGGACUGAGACACGGCCCAGACUCCUACGGGAGGCAGCAGUGGGGAAUUUUCCGCAAUGGGCGCAAGCCUGACGGAGCAAGACCGCGUGCGGGAUGACGGCCUAAUGGUUGUAAACCGCUUUUCUCUGGGAAGAUGAUGACGGUACCAGAGGAAUCAGCCUCGGCUAACUCCGUGCCAGCAGCCGCGGUAAUACGGAGGAGGCAAGCGUUAUCCGGAAUUAUUGGGCGUAUAGCGUCCGUAGGUGGUUAUUCAAGUCUGCUGUCAAAGCGUGGGGCUUAACUCCAUAGAGGCAGUGGAAACUGGAUGACUUGAGUGCGGUAGGGGUCGAGGGACUUCCCAGUGUAGCGGUGAAAUGCGUAGAUCUUGGGAAGAACACCAGUGGCGAAAGCGCUCGACUGGGCCUGCUCUGACACUGAGGGACGAAAGCGUGGGGAGCGAACAGGAUUUGAUACCCUGGUAGUC